UACGUAGGGUGCAAGCGUUAAUCGGAAUUACUGGGCGUAAAGCGUGCGCAGGCGGUUAUGUAAGACAGUUGUGAAAUCCCCGGGCUCAACCUGGGAACUGCAUCUGUGACUGCAUAGCUAGAGUACGGUAGAGGGGGAUGGAAUUCCGCGUGUAGCAGUGAAAUGCGUAGAUAUACGGAGGAACACCGAUGGCGAAGGCAAUCCCCUGGACCUGUACUGACGCUCAUGCACGAAAGCGUGGGGAGCAAACAGG
rnacentral:rRNA from 1 species